CCUACGGGAGGCAGCAGUAGGGAAUAUUGGGCAAUGGAGGCAACUCUGACCCAGCCAUGCCGCGUGCAGGAUGAAGGCGUUAUGCGUUGUAAACUGCUUUUAUAUAGGAAGAAAUAGACCUUGCGAGGUAAGUUGACGGUACUAUAUGAAUAAGCACCGGCUAACUCCGUGCCAGCAGCCGCGGUAAUACGGAGGGUGCAAGCGUUGUCCGGAUUUAUUGGGUUUAAAGGGUGCGUAGGCGGUUUAUUAAGUCAGUGGUGAAAGACGGUCGCUCAACGAUUGCAGUGCCAUUGAUACUGGUAGACUUGAGUGUGAUUGAGGUAGCUGGAAUGGAUAGUGUAGCGGUGAAAUGCAUAGAUAUUAUCCAGAACACCAAUUGCGUAGGCAAGUUACUAAGUCACAACUGACGCUGAGGCACGAAAGUGUGGGUAUCAAACAGGAUUAGAUACCCUGGUAGUCCACACUGUAAACGAUGAUAACUAACUGUUGGCUUUUGGGUCAGUGGUACAGAGAAAUCGUUAAGUUAUCCACCUGGGGAAGUACGCCGGNAACGGUGAAACGUUAAGGAAUUGAGG
rnacentral:rRNA from 1 species